CGGACGGGUGAGUAACGCGUAGGAAUCUACCUAGUAGUGGGGGACGAACUCGGGGAAACUCGAGCCAAUACCGCAUAAUAUCUAUGGAUCAAAGUGGGGGAUCUUCGGACCUCACGCUACUAGAGGAGCCUGCGUUGGAUUAGCUUGUUGGUGAGGUAAAAGCUCACCAAGGCUACGAUCUAUAGCUGGUCUGAGAGGACGAUCAGCCACACUGGAACUGAGACACGGUCCAG
rnacentral:rRNA from 1 species